CAGGCCUAGCUUGCUAGGUGCUGACGAGUGGCGGACGGGUGAGGAACGCGUAGGAAUCUACCUUUUAGUGGGGGACAACCAUGGGAAACUAUGGCUAAUACCGCAUAAGCCCGAGAGGGGAAAGGCCGCGAGGUCGCUAUGAGAUGAGCCUGCGUCAGAUUAGCUAGUUGGUGGGGUAAAGGCCUACCAAGGCGAAGAUCUGUAGCUGUUCUGAGAGGAAGAUCAGCCACACUGGGACUGAGACACGGCCCAGACUCCUACGGGAGGCAGCAGUGGGGAAUAUUGGACAAUGGGCGAAAGCCUGAUCCAGCAAUGCCGCGUGUGUGAAGAAGGCCUUCGGG
rnacentral:rRNA from 1 species